CAGUCUCUUGUCCUAACCUACUUGCCAUAAGACCUUGACCUUACACAACCCUUUCUCCAAGCCCUAAUAAUGUGGUGGUCUAGAGAUUCCAGAUAAUUGACUGUGAAGUUUCCUGAACUGGAGCAUGCUGAGAGAGGGAAUGGGAGCUGAGCUCCUCUUUCCCAAUGCAUCUGUUCAUUCACGAGGAUCCUCAGGUAAGUCUGCUGAUGUGUCACAUAGGGUGAUGCACCUCUUCAUCUACACAAUUCCUAAUGUAAGUCUGCUGGUGUUCAUAUACAAGACAGGGCAAUGCAUCCGUUUAUCUACGUGGAUACUACAGGAAGUCUGCUGAUAUCCGCUUCCAGGACAGGGCUACGUCUUAGGCUUCUUUGGUUGCUAUGGUUUCAAUGUUCUGUCCUAUCUAGAAUCAAACUUUGAGGUCAUCAUAACAAUGGGGCUCAUGAGAUGGUGAUGUCCUGAGGAUGGAGCACUUAGAAAGACCACAAUGGAGGGAACUGAUCAUUUUGGCUUUUCUGUUUCCUGCCAUGUGAAGUCACAGGAACUACUCAGGCAAUCUUGUCUUCAAUUCUUCAUAAGAACUUGAGCAAGUUUUUGAUAGGACAGCCCAGACCUGACAUCAGCGUAAGAGGACAAUGCACAUGAUGCCGCUGCUCCAAGCAGAGACCCCUGUGACCUACUUGGCCCUAGCAACAGCAACGACCAGCAAGAAUCUGACGGGAGGAAGACCUCCAGCACCUCCCCGUCUCUGGACCCAUCUCAGCUCUCCUUGCUCUCCUCCCCAAUAAAAACAUGC